rnacentral:rRNA from 1 species
UACAGAGGGUGCGAGCGUUAAUCGGAAUUACUGGGCGUAAAGCGUGCGUAGACGGUCAAGUAAGUCGCGUGUGAAAGCCCCCGGCUCAACUGGGGAGGGUCACGCGAUACUGCUCGACUCGAAGGCAGGAGAGGGAAGUGGAAUUCCCGGUGUAGUGGUGAAAUGCGUAGAUAUCGGGAGGAACACCAGUGGCGAAGGCGACUUCCUGGCCUGUUCUUGACGCUGAGGCGCGAAAGCUAGGGUAGCAAACGGG